UACGAAGGGGGCUAGCGUUGUUCGGAAUUACUGGGCGUAAAGCGCACGUAGGCGGGCGUGUCAGUCAGGGGUGAAAUCCCGGAGCUCAACUCCGGAACUGCCUCUGAUACAGCACGUCUUGAGUUCGAGAGAGGUGGGUGGAAUUCCUAGUGUAGAGGUGAAAUUCGUAGAUAUUCGGAAGAACACCAGUGGCGAAGGCGGCUCACUGGACUGGUAUUGACGCUGAGGUGCGAAAGCGUGGGGAGCAAACAGG
rnacentral:rRNA from 1 species